rnacentral:sRNA from 1 species
CGAGGAGGACGGCAAAGACCUGGACUUCUACGACUUUGAGCCGCUGCCCACCCUCCCCGAGGACGAGGAGAACGUGUCUCUGGCUGACAUCCUCUCCCUGCGGGACCGCGGCCUCAGCGAGCAGGAAGCCUGGGCUGUGUGCCUGGAGUGCAGCCUGUCCAUGCGGAGCGUGGCCCACGCUGCCAUCUUCCAGAGCCUGUGCAUCACGCCCGACACCCUGGCCUUCAACACCAGCGGGAACGUGUGUUUCAUGGAGCAGCUCAGCGAUGACCCUGAGGGUGCCUUCGUUCCCCCCGAGUUCGACGUGACCGGGAACACCUUUGAGAGCCCUGGCCAGUGAGGCCCUGUCUGGGCCCAGGCGGCUCUGGGAGCCCCCAGGUGUGUGUUCACAGUGUCCUCCUGAGGCCCGGGCUGCAGCGGACCCACCACGCUGAGUGC